AUGUUCAGAGGGAGAUGAUGCCACAUCUGGUCCAGCUGAUGGAAGGUCUUGAAGUUCUCUGACUGGCCUCGACUGAAGAUGGUCGUCUCUCUGGAUUUAAGAUGCACAAUGAGGGACGUCUGCAGAGACUGAGAAAGAGUCUCACCACAUCCUGACAUGAGGAAAAAGACCUUAUUGAAGACUACAAUGAGAAAAACUAUCAGACAGCAGACGGCUGCAUUCAAGUCUGUAGCUGCUGAAUUCAUGGAUGAAUCAUCUGGCACUAGAGAAGAAGACCAUCAAACAUCCACAUCAGCUGAUGGAGGUCCAAGAGUCUCACCGAACAACCAACCUACAGAGUGAAGACCUCAAAUCUGAUUGGACGGCCUCCUUUUCAGCCACAUGUGUGAACAAAUGCCUCUAAGCUGAUUUGUUUUCGAAAAUAAAUCUAGUUUGAGUCCUAAUCUAUGCCUGUGUUUGCUUCUUUACACCGCUGUUAACAGUUUAGGCUGUUAGAUUGUUCCAGAUAAGACAAGUACAAGAUUCUUCAGAGCCGUUCUACCACGAGCCUGACAGGAAGAACUCCAACAGCUACUGAAUGUUCCUGUGGUCCCCUCAAGGCUACAGGAGGAGUCCUACGAGGACGAGCCGGUCCACCUGAUGGUGGCCAGUCGCUGCGGUUCAAAGCCAAC
ensembl:lncRNA